CUUUGAGGGCCUGUAGGCAGGGAUCCUGGGAGACAGAACCAGGAAGCUGCCUGAAGCAGUCAGACUCCAUGGCUCAGUGGCAUACGGUGACAACAGCUCCCCCAGAUGCCCAGGUCAGACCUUCGAGGGCUUUUUCUGAGAUGUACUUCUCUCUUCUGCUUCUCAACCAAGGCCUUGUUUCAGUCCUCUGGAACUGUUUGCUCUCUCCUAGAAUUAAGAACCAUCUUCAGAAAGCAACACGUGAAACCAUUUUCAAACUGACUUUAAUAAAUUUUUUUGUGUGUGUGCUGCCCAAAUACUGUACAUGCAGAAGCCAUGUGAAGGAUUUUUCUCCUCAAGGGAAUUGGCAAGAAUGUUGUAAGAAACAGCCGGUAGUCCUUCCCAGCCAUCCACCUGCCACCUGGGAGCCACAACAAGUUUGGGAAGAUGCUGCAUAUAGAAAAUGUAAAAGGCUAAUUGCUUCUUAUCUAAACAGUGUGCUUGUCAGUCCCUAUCCUCUCUCUCUCUGCAGGAUGCAUUUGGAAAUUCUAAAAAAAGGGGUUCUUGCCUCCUGUGAAUUUACAUUCUCAAGGAGUGGAUGAAUCAAUCAGGCCAGCUUUUCCUAAGGAAGCAGCAGCCAUUCUGCCUGUUGAGAUGGUGUCUGCAAAAGGCAUUCUGGAGAAGAGUGAUAUAUAUAUAUAUAUAUAUAUGCAUUUUUUUUAAUUGAAGAAGCAAAAUACUUUGAAGGGAAAUAAGUUUCCUCUCUCCUCCCAUCAGAGAGCCUCUUCUUUUAAGAUUCUCACACUGAUCCUGUUCUCGAAGCAGAGAUGAGGACCAACCCAGCAUCGUCUGCUGGUGGGGAUACUGACCUACACAGGAUACAGCUGAGGCUGUAACCUCACACCAGCACCUUGGAAAUUGUCCAUUGCAGAUGACCCUUAAUUAUCUCAUCACAUAAGAGGAAGAGAACAAUAAACCAUGAGGAGGUGGAAGGAGCAGAGUCCGCUAGGAUUCCCAGAGUUCUUGUCAGAAGCAGCAUCUGGGCGUGGAUGGGUGAGGACCUGCCCCCGGGGCUGGAAAGAACCAGCCUGUGGGACCAGGUGCCAGGUAUAUCAGGCUCACGAUCCUCACCAGCUCCAGAUCAGAUUUUAAAAACCUGGAGGGAGCAUGGAAUAACUAGCAAAUGCUCUGGUUUUGCAGAUGAGGAAGCUGAGACCCAGGAAAGGGAGGAGACUUGCAUAAGGUCACAGUUUCUCUGUAUAUAACAGCCUUGGAUUCUCUGUAGCCGGCUGUCCAGGUCAUUGACCUUUGGGGCGGAUGCUCUGUUGCCUUUGGGAUUCCCAGGGCCCAUUUCUGUUUGCCAAGCUCUCUGGAACCCAGGCCCAAGGACCUUCCUGGCAUCAGUGCGUACUGCCUGGGAGGCUGAAGGUUCCUAUCCUUGCUGGCCAAGUUUCCAACCAGAAUGUGGGGAGGUUCUCCUGAAGCAGUAACACGCAUGCUUUGUGGCGAGCAUCCUCCCCAAGCCAGUCUGGGCCCCUGGGAGAAUGCAAGUUUCCCUCACAGGCACAGCCUUACUGGGCCCACAAAGGCCUGAGCUCAGGGUUGGGGGGUAGAGGAAGUUGCUUUGCUACAUGGAAAGAUUAAGCCCUUUGUCAGAGAACAAGGUCCCACCAUGGGGCAUGCCGACACCGUGUGCGGCUCAGCUGGCAGAGCUGCUGCCCGAGGAGGCCAAGUUGCUCUCUUUGGCAUCACUGACAUCACUCUGAGAUGCUCAGGCACUCUUUCAAAAUAACCCUUGCCCAGCCAGCCCACGCCGAUCCAGUCCCCAUCAGGCCUCACUGGAGCAGGCGGGGCACGCUUGCCCUUCAGUCACGACUGUUUUUGUUUUGCCCCAGCCUCUUCUGACCUGAGUGAAAAGCAGACUCGAGGGAGAAGGUAGGGGACGAGUCUACGUUCCUAUCUCCUCCCUGAUCAUGCAAGUGGACAGUAGUCCAGUACAGGAAGCAGCAUUUUAAGGAACCUCUUUCUGGGUCAGGAUAUUGGAGAAGAAAACUCUGGGGAGAGGAAGAAAGAGGGAGAGAGAAAGGAGCCAGUGGGCAGCAGGCCUCUCUCCCUCCCCUUCCUGGCAGCCACUGCAGAUACCCUGCUGGAUGGCCGGCUUCCUGGUCCUGAAGGACACGGCCCCCCCUCCCCCGACGAGCAAAGGCAGCAAUUUGUCCAUAGAGUUACACAGUGCAGGAAGCAACCAAAGAAGCAGAAGAACAGCCUUUCUGAAGCCCUGCUGCUUUCUGGGCUGAAGAAGAUGGGGACUCGGAGGUUAUCAGGAGCUCUGGAGCCCCGGCUGGGGGGUGGGGGUCGGG
ensembl:lncRNA